AGCCCAAGGCUAUGAAAUGAAACUGAAAACACCUCCAUCAUCUUGUUCCUUAACAGCACUGUUUUCCAAUCACACUCAUAAUCCACGGAAUACCAUCACAGUCGCCAAAAGCAAGAGGCACUCUCAGGGUUCUCAUUCUGACCCAACUCCUCCCAGAAUUACAUCCAACGUCAAGCAAAACCUCCAAUUCCUACGCUUAUGGAAGGAGUUCCAAAAACGAAACUCCAGCAGUCCCAGGCCAUCUACCAGUUAUCGCAAAAAGAAGGUGGAGAAGGAGGAACUCCUUCAAGAUUCCAUCGACCUCUAUCGUGAUCCCACCACCUCCCUCUAUGGCACAAACCAGGGUAUAGACAGUGCAGUCCCUGUGUUGCUUGUUGAUGGUUAUAAUGUGUGUGGCUACUGGAUGAAGCUCAAGAAGCAUUUCACGAAAGGAAGACUUGAUAUUGCUCGACAAAAGCUUAUCGAUGAGCUUGUAACCUUUAGUAUGCUACGAGAGGUCAAAGUGGUUGCCGUAUUUGAUGCCAUGAUGUCUGGAUUCCCUACUCACAAGGAAAACUUUGCUGGUGUUGAUGUCAUUUUCUCGGCCGAAUCAAGUGCUGAUACAUGGAUUGAAAAAGAGGUUUCAGCUUUGAAAGAGGAUGGAUGCCCCAAAGUCUGGGUUGUCACUUCUGACCGCUGUCAACAAGAAGCAGCACAUGGAGCAGGAGCCUUUGUUUGGAGUUGCAAGGCAUUGGUUACUGAGGUAAAACACUAACUUGAGGCAGGAUAUUGAUGACGACAUUCAAUAAUGAAUCAAGGCAUCAAAUAAGGAGGUUGAAAGAAUGCUUCAAGAGCAAAGAUCCACUUCUUUUCAAGGUAGAUUAUUGAAGCAUAAUCUUGAUUCAGAAGUUGUAGAUGCUCUUAAGAACCUGAGGCAAAAACUAUCUGAAAAUGAGUUGAAGUAGAAUGCAGGCAUAUGGGGAUGCACUUGUUAUAUUACAUUAACACUGGAGGCCUUCACAUUUUUGUUGAGUAUUUUCUUUUGGCACAACGACGACCAGGUAUCAACAGAAUCAAGAUGCCAGAUUCACCGUCUCAUCGAUACAUGUAACAUCAAGACAACAUUCUUAUGAACCAUGUUAAAAAUGUACCAAUAACAACAUAUGUACAGAUACAUUUUAGAUAGGCUUUUUCUUAGAAAAAAAAUUGCAAAAUCAAAUAUGUAUUAUUGAUUCUUCCCUUUUGCUACCAAAUUUAAUUUGUAAUUAUUUCCCCAAGUGCUUAAUCAGACCAAAAGCUUGUCAUGAUCCCAA